rnacentral:lncRNA from 1 species
CAGGCCUGCCUGCAGCUGGACCCGGUGACACCGGAGCCCUGUGGCGCUGUCACCAUCCUCUGUCCCGAGGACGGGAGGUGAACUCUGUGCCACCAGCAGAGGGGACCACGGGUGACAUCAGUGUGGAACAGCCGUGACGCGGCGGCGUUGUCAUUGGGUGUCACCGUCACGCAAAAGGGACAAAAGGACCCCCCUGGGGGCAUUGCGUCGAAGUUGGGGACACCGUGAGCAGCUUGAGGACUUCCCAGGGGAAGUGGGGGCACCGCGUCACCGUGUCACACCCCAAAGUUGGGGACGCCCCCGCAGUGUCACACCCCAAAGUUGGGGACGCCCCGACAGUGUCACAGCCCAAAGUUGGGGUCUGUCCCAGAGCUGGGAGUGCCCCCACAUCCCCACCAUGGCGUCACAUCCCAAAGUUGGGGACCCCCCUCUUGGGACCCAUUCUGUGCGUCCCCCAUUUCAGACCGCACUGUUGCCAUGGGGUGGGGGCGGGGGGCACCCUUUAUUUUUGGGGUUAAGGUUUAUUUCGUGAUAACGGGGGUUUGGGGAAUGCCCCCCCCCACGUGAAUAAAGGGCAGAGGAGCGGCUGUGGGCUCCG